rnacentral:lncRNA from 1 species
CUAUUAUUCUUACUGUCUCUUUCUUUACAGAAAAUGACACAUCAAUCCCAUCUGUUUUUGAAACACCCAAUUGUACCCUCGGCCUUUAUUUCAUGCUGAAACCUCAUUUUCAUCUGUAUAUAUAAAUAGGACCAUCCAUAUGACAUUCCUUAUCUUUCUUUCAUAACACAAAGGUCAAACCUCAACAUGACCUCUUGUUAUCUUCCUUGUUCUCUGGUUUCAACCAUGGCUCUCCAAGUUGCUAAGAAACCUGUGUUUGGAGCCAUGGUCAUUGACUUUGGUCUAUGUCAUACAGCAACAAACUCCAGUAAUUUAAUGUUGUAGAGGGCAUGGCGGUAUCUCUCCUGAGCUUAUCCUUCUUAUUUCUUCUUCCUCCUUCUUCCAACUAUACAAAGGCGGCUCAAGUUUUCUUGACCUUGCAAGUCCGAGAAACUGACAUUUCUAGUCAAAGUCGUCUUUUCCAUUCUUCAAGAGGACCCAAAAAUGAAAAAACUAUCUUGAAUUCUGGAAGUUCUUCCUCCCUUUCUAUCCCUCCUGAGCUAUAUCCUUGACAUCGAGCACUUUUAGGUGUGUUCUCAUGUUGCAUAUGUCGAAGUAGUUUUCAUUCUUAUGUUUCUUGUUUUCUUGUUUUUAAUUUGUUGAAGAAUACGUUGUAUAUACAAUACAUGUAUGAAGCAGACAUAGCUUGUAUGGAUACCUUAACCAGUUUGUUGUACAAUGCUAUUUUGGUUAACAUAUUUUUAUUCUUCAUUUUCAGUAUCUAAAAUUAUGUAAUGGAGAUGCAAACUAAAAUAGAGAAAAUAUAGUAACUUUUUAAGUGACAUUUCGUACCCACCAAAAUUUGGAGAAGUGGUGUUUUCCUGAUGCGGCAUUUGUACCAUUUUUUUCAUGUCUUCACUUCACUUUCAGGAUUUAAUUAUCAUCUAAAGCUAUAAAGUUCACGAAGGAGAAAAAGGUCCGAUUUUUUCUGUUUUAGGAACUCGACGAGCCACACUGAAAUGGAUUAGAUUAGAUUUGUAUUUUAGGGUUCUGCAUUAGAGUUUCGUGACUGUAAUAUCACGUGACCUUUGUUAAUAAGAACUAAAGGCUACACAUGACACAUAUUUGCAAGCAGGAGGUUCACUUUUCUUUCCUUAUGGAUGGUGCAUGUUUUCAUUUAUAAUAGAUGAUUAAUAUAUAUAUUUAUUAAUUUUAAAUAAUAAAAUAUAUAUCAAUCAUUUAAUAUCAAAAUAUAUAAAACAUAUGUUACUAUCCUGUUAGCUAUAUAUAUAUAUUAAAUUAGAUAAGAAUUUUUCCUCAAAUAAAAGAGAAUUCCAUCCAUCAGUGCACGUGCUACUCUUACUCUCCAUACCAAAAUGGAAAAGUUACUUCUCCUCUCUGGUAUUCUAUUAUAGAAACAUACAAUUUUUAUUGUGUAUUUUACAAGCUAAUAGAAAUAAGUUUAAAGGUAAGUUAAAUUUCCUGUACGGAUAAACCCUGCUGUCUGCAUCAUUUUAAAUGUUCCUAAGAAAAAGUUCAUCAAUGCCAACUACAUUAUAAACAGUCUUGCCAGAAAACUUGCAACAGCUCAUAACUUUUAUGCUAAAGCCCUUCAUAUAUCAGCCCAAUUAUAAGUUCUCCCAUAUGAAGCUGGGGAGCAACUGUGAAACGUUUCUCACAAUUGCCAAUUCCUCUUGGGUCGAGCUUUGAUGUUUUGAGCAAGACACUGGUCAGAUAUGUGACAAAAUCCAUUAACGAGUCUGUAGAUAUGAAACGUAGAAAAGCCCAUAGUUUUUCAGAGAUCAAAGUAUUUCAGAUUGUAAGGUGCCGAAGCAAGACUAGAAUCCGACUUCCCUGAAAUUCAUACCUACUAUAUAUAGAAUUUUGAGUGCAAUAGCAAACAUGUGACUACAUUUGAUGCGAAAAAGCUUGUACUAUUAUCAGCCGGAAAAAAGAAGAAAAGAAGAAAGGAAUUGAAGAGCCAGAGGCUCCCUAACCGCCCAAUUGACAUUUCAAUGAUAUAUACAAGACAAAAACCCAAUCACCUAUAUAAUACACCACUAGGUACUUUCAACACAUUCAUUUCAUUUUUCUUUCUCUUGUUUUCUUUUUUCUCUUCUACUUUUUAUCAUUUACUUAAGCUGCAAGAACUAAUACUUUUAUUGUACCCUGGCUAUUUGCUGUUAGCAUUGUCGGACUAUCACUCUUCCAGCAGACAGCACUAAUGAAGUACGAUCCUGCAUCCUCAUCAGCAUCGUCCAUUUCCGGUGAACCAAAUCUAUGCCAUGUCACAGGUCUUGAAAUUUCCUGA